rnacentral:rRNA from 1 species
GGGCGGGUGAUGAUACUAGUGUUGGAGGGUUUCCGCCCUUCAGUGCUGCAGCUAACGCAUUAAGUAAUCCGCCUGGGGAGUACGACCGCAAGGUUGAAACUCAAAAGAAUUGACGGGGGCCCGCACAAGCGGUGGAGCAUGUGGUUUAAUUCGAAGCUACGCGAAGAACCUUACCAGGUCUUGACAUCUUCUGCCAACCUAAGAGAUUAGGCGUUCCCUUCGGGGACAGAAUGACAGGUGGUGCAUGGUUGUCGUCAGCUCGUGUCGUGAGAUGUUGGGUUAAGUCCCGCAACGAGCGCAACCCUUAUUACUAGUUGCCAGCAUUCAGUUGGGCACUCUAGUGAGACUGCCGGUGACAAACCGGAGGAAGGUGGGGACGACGUCAAAUCAUCAUGCCCCUUAUGACCUGGGCUACACACGUGCUACAAUGGAUGGUACAACGAGUCGCGAAACCGCGAGGUUUAGCUAAUCUCUUAAAACCAUUCUCAGUUCGGACUGUAGGCUGCAACUCGCCUACACGAAGUCGGAAUCGCUAGUAAUCGCGGAUCAGCAUGCCGCGGUGAAUACGUUCCCGGGCCUUGUACACACCGCCCGUCACACCAUGAGAGUUUGUAACACCCAAAGCCGGUGGGGUAACCUUUUAGGAGCUAGCCGUCUAAGGUGGGACAGAUGAUUAGGGUGAAGUCGUAAAAGGGGUAACCAAACCAGAAGCAAAAAUAAUCAUUUUGGGCAAAG